UACGAAGGGGGCUAGCGUUGUUCGGAAUUACUGGGCGUAAAGCGCACGUAGGCGGAUAUUUAAGUGAGGGGUGAAAUCCCAGGGCUCAACCCUGGAACUGCCUCUCAUACUGGGUAUCUCGAGUUCGAGAGAGGUGAGUGGAAUUGCGAGUGUAGAGGUGAAAUUCGUAGAUAUUCGCAGGAACACCAGUGGCGAAGGCGGCUCACUGGCUCGAUACUGACGCUGAGGUGCGAAGGCGUGGGGAGCAAACAGG
rnacentral:rRNA from 1 species